GGGAUUGUGGCUCAGUGGUAUAGAGCACUUGCAUUGCAUGUGUAAGGCUCUGGGUUCGAUUCUCAGCACCA
rnacentral:tRNA from 1 species